rnacentral:tRNA from 1 species
GGAGAGGUGGCAGAGUGGUUGAAUGCAGUUGCCUGCUAAGCAGUUAACUGCGUAAGCGGUUCUCGGGUUCGAAUCCCGACCUCUCCG